ACUCCUACGGGAGGCAGCAGUGGGGAAUAUUGCACAAUGGGGGAAACCCUGAUGCAGCCAUGCCGCGUGUGUGAAGAAGGCCUUCGGGUUGUAAAGCACUUUCAGUAGGGAGGAAGGUAGUGUAGUUAACACCUGCAUUAUUUGACGUUACCUACAGAAGAAGCACCGGCUAACUCCGUGCCAGCAGCCGCGGUAAUACGGAGGGUGCGAGCGUUAAUCGGAAUUACUGGGCGUAAAGCGCAUGCAGGCGGCCUGUAAGUCAGAUGUGAAAGCCCGGGGCUUAACCUCGGAAUUGCAUUUGAAACUGGCAGGCUAGAGUCUUGUAGAGGGGGUAGAAUUUCAGGUGUAGCGGUGAAAUGCGUAGAGAUCUAGAAGGAAUACCAGUGGCGAA
rnacentral:rRNA from 1 species